rnacentral:rRNA from 1 species
UACGAAGGGGGAGCUAGCGUUGCUCGGAAUUACUGGGCGUAAAGGGCGCGUAGGCGGCGCUGCAAGUCAGGCGUGAAAUUCCUGGGCUUAACCUGGGGGCUGCGCUUGAGACUGUGGUGCUAGAGGACGGAAGAGGCUCGUGGAAUUCCCAGUGUAGAGGUGAAAUUCGUAGAUAUUGGGAAGAACACCGGUGGCGAAGGCGGCGAGCUGGUCCGUUACUGACGCUGAGGCGCGACAGCGUGGGGGAGCAAACAGG